rnacentral:lncRNA from 1 species
UUUGCGGGUGCCGGCACGGGUGGCUGCACAGGUGCCAGCUUCCAGGCCUAGGCUGGUAACGGCUUGGGUGGGUGCACUGGUGAUGGCGUCCACGCUUAGGCAGGUACCGGCUUGGGUGGGUGCACUGGUGCCGCCUUCCAGGCCUCUUCUACUUUUGACUGUCAGGCUUGGCUGGUGCCGGCUUGGGUGGGUGCACUUGUACCGGCCUGGGUGGGUGCACAGGUGCCGGCUUCCAGGCCUUAGCUGUUGCUGGCCUCCAGGCCAAGGCUGUUGCCGGCAUCCAGGCCUUGGCUGGAGCCAGCUUGGGUGGGUGCACAGGUGCCAGCAUCCAGACCUUGGCUGGUGUUGGCUUGGGUGGCUGCACAGGUACCAGCAUCCAGACCUUGGCUGGUGUUGGCUUGGGUGGCUGCACAGGUGCCGGCUUCCAGGCCUUGGCGGGUGCGGGCUUGGGAGGGUGCACUGGAGCCGGCUUCCAGGCCUUAGCUGGUGCCAGCCUCCAGGCCUUGGCUGGUACCGGCUUGGGUGCUUUCACUGCUGCCAGCUUGGGUGGGUUCACAGGUGCCGUCUCCCAGGCUUUGACAGGUGCCGGUUUCCAGGCCUUGGCUGGUGCCUGCCUGGGUGGGUGCACAGGCGCCGGCUUCCAGGCCUUGGCUGUUGCUGGCUUCCAGGCCUAGGCUGUUGACAGCAUCCAGGCCUUGGCUGGUGCUGGCUUGGGUGGGUGCACACGUGCCGGCUUUGAGACCUUGGCUGGUGUCGGCUUGGGUGGGGGCACACGUGCCGGCUUCCAGACCUUGGCUGGUGUUGGCUUGGGUGGGUGCACUGGAGCCAGCAUCCAAGGGCUGCUGCCGGCUUCCUGGCUUUGGCUCGUGCCGGUUUCCAGGCCUUCUCUGAUUCCUGCUUCCAGGCCUUGGCUGGUGCCGGCUUGGGUGGGUGCACUGGUGCCUGCGUCCAGGCCUUGCCUAGUGACAUCUUCUAGGUCUUUGCCGGUGCUGGCUUGGGUGGGUGCACUUGUGUCGGUUUCCAGGGCUUGGCUGAUGCUGGCUUGGGUGGGUGCACUAGCGCCUAUUUCCAGGCCUUGGCUGGUGCGGGCUUCUGUUGGUGUACUGGUGCCAGCUUGGGUGGGUGCACAGGUGCUGGCUUCCAGGCCCUGUCUGA